UCUUGGUCAUUUAGAGGAAGUAAAAGUCGUAACAAGGUCUCCGUAGGUGAACCUGCGGAGGGAUCAUUACCGAGUUCAUGCCCUUACGGGUAGACCUCCCACCCUAUGUUAUAUUACCUUUGUUGCUUUGGCGGGCCGCCCGGCUUCGGCCAGGCUACCGGCUCCAGCUGGUAAGCGCUCGCCAGAGGACCCCCAACUCUGAAUAUCAGUGUCGUCCGAGUACUAUAAAAUAGUUAAAACUUUCAACAACGGAUCUCUUGGUUCUGGCAUCGAUGAAGAACGCAGCGAAAUGCGAUAAGUAAUGUGAAUUGCAGAAUUCAGUGAAUCAUCGAAUCUUUGAACGCACAUUGCGCCCCUUGGUAUUCCGAGGGGCAUGCCUGUUCGAGCGUCAUUACAACCCUCAAGCACUGCUUGGUAUUGGGCUCCGCUGGCUCCAGCGGGCCUUAAAAUCAGUGGCGGCGCCGUUUGGGCUCUGAGCGUAGUAAAUAUCCUCGCUAUAGAGACCAGGCGGUUCUUGUCAUCAACCCCCAACUUUCUAAGUUUGACCUCGGAUCAGGUAGGGAUACCCGCUGAACUUAAGCAUAUCAAUAAGCGGAGGAA
rnacentral:rRNA from 1 species